GGGCCCGCACAAGCGGUGGAGCAUGUGGUUUAAUUCGAUGAUACGCGAGGAACCUUACCAGGGCUUAAAUGUAGUGGGACAGGUCUAGAGAUAGACCCUUCUUCGGACUCAUUACAAGGUGCUGCAUGGUUGUCGUCAGCUCGUGCCGUGAGGUGUCAGGUUAAGUCCUAUAACGAGCGCAACCCCUAUCGUUAGUUGCCAGCGGGUAAUGCCGGGAACUCUGACGAAACUGCCAGUGCAAACUGUGAGGAAGGUGGGGAUGACGUCAAAUCAUCACGGCCCUUACGUCCUGGCUACACACGUGCUACAAUGGCCGGUACAGAGAGCAGCCACUUCGCAAGAAGGAGACGAA
rnacentral:rRNA from 1 species